AAGCUUUUCUUGAUAACUACAGGAAUCACCCAAUGUUUGCUGACAACGAUCUUUCAGAAUUUGAUGAAUCCAGAGAUAUGAUUGAGAGUCUUGUCGAUGAGUACAAGGCUUGUGAGUCCCCGGAUUACAUCAAGUGGGGAAUGGAGGAUCCGGACCAUCUCAUGUCGGGAGAAGGAAAUGCUACUGGAACAGUGGAUCCAAAGCUAUCAGUUUGAUUCUCUAACCUUUCUGGGAAUUGUGCUCUUGCAGUUAAAGCUGAGUAGGGAAGGUGAAGAUAUGAAUAUCGAUUCUGCUUGUUGAUCGUGUGUAGUGAAAUAUGAGAUUUUCUUUCACUUUUUUUUGGUGUUUCCUUUUGUACUAACUAACAUGUAUGCCUAUGGAAAUCAAUCAUUUCCUCGUGUGAUAUAUACUCUAUUCAAUCUUUACAUUUAAAACAAGUGGUGAAAUUGGUCUUAUGAAACCAUUGAGUUUUGCUCAUA